rnacentral:ncRNA from 1 species
UUCUUCGGGGCGGGGUGCAAAUCCCCACCGGCGGUACAGUCCGCGACCUGCAUGAUGCAGCUGAUCCGGUGAGAUUCCGGAACCGACAGUAUAGUCUGGAUGAGAGAAGAA